rnacentral:rRNA from 1 species
AUUGAACGCUGGCGGCAGGCCUAACACAUGCAAGUCGAACGAGUGGCGGACGGGUGAGUAAUGUCUGGGACACUGCCUGAUGGAGGGGGAUAACUACUGGAAACGGUAGCUAAUACCGCAUACCAUCGGAUGUGCCCAGAUGGGAUUGGCUUGUAGGGGGGGUAACGGCUCACCUAGGCGACGAGCCCUAGCUGGUCGGAGAGGAGGACCAGCCACACUGGAACUGAGCCACGUUCCAGACUCCUACGGGAGGCAGCAGUGGGGAAUAUUGCACAAUGGGGGCAAGCCUGAUACAGACAUGCGGCGGGUAGGAAGAAGGCCUUCGGGUUUUAAAGUACUUUCAGCGGGGAGACGUUACCCGCAGAAGAAGCACCGGCUAACUCCGUGCCAGCAGCCGCGGUAAUAG